GCCGGCGUAGCUCAGCGGGGAGAGCAGCGGUCUUGUAAACCGCAGGUCGUCGGUUCGAGUCCGACCGCCGGCU
rnacentral:tRNA from 1 species